rnacentral:rRNA from 1 species
GAUGAACGCUGACAGAAUGCUUAACACAUGCAAGUCCACUUGAACUUCGGUUUGGGUGGCGGACGGGUGAGUAACGCGUACAGAACUUGCCUCACAGAUAGGGACAACAUUUGGAAACGAAUGCUAAUACCUGAUAUUAUGAUUAUAUGGCAUCGUAUAAUUAUGAAAGCUAUAUGCGCUGUGAGAGAGCUUUGCGUCCCAUUAGCUAGUUGGAGAGGUAACGGCUCACCAAGGCGAUGAUGGGUAGCCGGCCUGAGAGGGUGAUCGGCCACAAGGGGACUGAGACACGGCCCUUACUCCUACGGGAGGCAGCAGUGGGGAAUAUUGGACAAUGGACCAAGAGUCUGAUCCAGCAAUUCUGUGUGCACGAUGAAGUUUUUCGGAAUGUAAAGUGCUUUCAGUUGGGAAGAAAAAAAUGACGGUACCAACAGAAGAAGUGACGGCUAAAUACGUG